rnacentral:rRNA from 1 species
GCUCAGAAACUCAAAGGAAUUGACGGGGCCCGCACAAGCGGAGGAGCAUGUGGUUAAUUCGAUGAUACGCGAGGAACCUUACCUGGGCUCGAACGUAAGAUGACUGUAGGUGAAAGCUUACAUCUCUUCGGAGCAUUUUACGAGGUGCUGCAUGGUUGUCGUCAGCUCGUGCCGUGAGGUGUCGGGUUAAGUCCCAUAACGAGCGCAACCCCUACCUUUAGUUGCCAUCAGGUUAAGCUGGGGACUCUAAAGGAACUGCCUACGCAAGUAGUGAGGAAGCGGGGAUGACGUCAAAUCAGCACGGCCCUUACGUCCAGGGCUACACACGUGCUACAAUGGCCGAUACAGAGGGCAGCUACCUGGUGACAGGAUGCAAAUCUCCAAAGUCGGUCUCAGUUCGGAUCGGAGUCUGCAACCCGACUCCGUGAAGUUGGAUUCGCUAGUAAUCGCGCAUCAGCCAUGGCGCGGUGAAUACGUUCCCGGGCCUU